rnacentral:tRNA from 1 species
GCAGUGGCUUGGUGAUAGAGCGCUCGCCUAGCACACGUGAGGCACUGGGUUCAAACCUCAGCACUGCA